rnacentral:rRNA from 1 species
CAGCCGCCGCGGGAAUACGGAGGGUGCAAGCGUUAAUCGGAAUUACUGGGCGUAAAGCGCACGCAGGCGGUCUGUCAAGUCGGAUGUGAAAUCCCCGGGCUCAACCUGGGAACUGCAUUCGAAACUGGCAGGCUAGAGUCUUGUAGAGGGGGGUAGAAUUCCAGGUGUAGCGGUGAAAUGCGUAGAGAUCUGGAGGAAUACCGGUGGCGAAGGCGGCCCCCUGGACAAAGACUGACGCUCAGGUGCGAAAGCGUGGGGAGCAAACAGGAUUAGAUACCCGAGUAGUCCCUGUCUCUUAUAC